rnacentral:tRNA from 1 species
GGCCUCAUGGUCAAGCGGUUAAGACGCCGCCCUCUCAAGGCGGAAUCACGAGUUCGAUUCUCGUUGGGGCUACCA